rnacentral:rRNA from 1 species
AGGGCACCACCAGGGGUGGAGCCUGCGGCUUAAUUUGACUCAACACGGGGAAACUCACCAGGUCCAGACACAAUAAGGAUUGACAGAUUGAGAGCUCUUUCUUGAUUUUGUGGGUGGUGGUGCAUGGCCGUUCUUAGUUGGUGGGGUGACUUGUCUGCUUAAUUGCGAUAACGAACGAGACCUUAACCUGCUAAAUAGCCCGCAUUGCUCCGGCAGUGCGCUGGCUUCUUAGAGGGACUUUCGGCUCAAGCCGAAGGAAGUUUGAGGCA